ACGCUGGCGCAGGUUGUGCAGUACGGAUGCCUCGUUGAGGUGCGUCAUCAUGGCCAUGUCCUCCAGCAAGUCGAAGCGGGGCGGGUUCAUGGGCUGCAGCUCAGCCUCGCGAACCGUCAGCACCUGCCAGGAAGGCCAUAUCUUGGGGGAGAACCAAGUGACCUCAGCCUCUCACCCGUGUACGCCCCCAGACCCCCUUUCAUCCAGAGCAUGCCUUCCAGGAGCUACACGUCGGGGAGGAAGAGGAGCUAAUUCCAGGAAAAGGGGGGAGCCAAACCUUCUGGUCUUUGGUCUCCACGUUGACUCUGCCCCCAGUGGCUUCCGACUUGACCUCAGCCUCCACGAGCAGAUCAAUGGUGCUGUUACAAGGAAGCAGCGUUUGGAGACCACACACAAAAGGACCGUCUCAUGCUUGAAGCCAAUCAGCAAAGAAAGAGGCUGCCUUAGAAGAAAGUGAGCCUGCCAAAAGCGAAGAAGAAUCAAGGAGAGGUUGCAACAGGGCUUGAGGCCUUGGACUGGACAACUUCUGAGAUACUCAUGGGCACGGGGAUGCCAGUUCCAAGAGGGCAGAGACCUCGGCUUUCUUGCUCUUUGCUGCAGCUCAGCCUGAGCCUGGCCAUGGCAAUGCAUCUCUGGCUUCGGCCCUUAGGAAGAGCAACAGUGUGGCGCAUA